rnacentral:rRNA from 1 species
CAGCCGCCGCGGUAAUACGUAGGGUGCAAGCGUUAAUCGGAGUUACUGGGCGUAAAGCGUGCGCAGGCGGUUAUAUAAGUCAGAUGUGAAAUCCCCGGGCUCAACCUGGGACCUGCAUUUGUGACUGUAUAGCUAGGGUACGGUAGAGGGGGAUGGAAUUCCGCGUGUAGCAGUGAAAUGCGUAGAUAUGCGGAGGAACACCGAUGGCGAAGGCAAUCCCCUGGACCUGUACUGACGCUCAUGCACGAAAGCGUGGGGAGCAAACAGGAUUAGAUACCCCCGUAGUCCCUGUCUCUUAUAC